rnacentral:rRNA from 1 species
GAUGAACGCUAGCGGCAGGCCUAAUACAUGCAAGUCGAACGGGAUUGCGGUAGUAGCUUGCUACUACUGCAUGAGAGUGGCGCACGGGUGCGUAACGCGUGAGCAACCUACCCAUAUCAGGGGGAUAGCCCGGCGAAAGUCGGAUUAACACCGCAUAACAUCAACAGUUCGCAUGUUCAGUUGAUUAAAUAUUUAUAGGAUAUGGAUGGGCUCGCGUGACAUUAGCUAGUUGGUAGGGUAACGGCUUACCAAGGCAACGAUGUCUAGGGGCUCUGAGAGGAGAAGCCCCCACACUGGUACUGGGACACGGACCAGACUCAUACGGGAGGCAGCAGUAAGGAAUAUUGGUCAAUGGGCGAAAGCCUGAACCAGCCAUGCCGCGUGCAGGAGGACUGCCCUAUGGGUUGUAAACUGCGUUUAUCAGGGAAUAAACCCCUUUACGAGUAGAGGGUUGAAUGUACCUGAAGAAUAAGGAUCGGCUAACUACGUG